GCACCCACACUGCUGCUGAGCACAUUUAACAUUAAACAACUCUGUUUGAAGCAGGCAGAAAAAUUCCUGGCAUGCUCAUUUUCUUUGUAUUGCCUCUUCAUUCAUCUUAUUGCCAUUGUAUUGUUCUACUUCAUGCAUUGAGUGCUACUUAAUAUCGAGGAUGUGAACUCAACAAAAUUUAUGAGAGUGAGAAUACAGAAGUGUACCUAACAGGCCUUUCCCAAUAACUGUACAAGAAUGCAGAAUGAAUCAGAACAGUCAUUUACAUUUCAUUUGAAUGCAGUGCUUUCCCCAUAGCAAGUAUUGCCGAGCAUGUGAAAGAUAUGUCACCAAACCUUGCCUUUUACAUACGAAUAGAAGAACAACAUAUGUGUUAUCAAUGAGGUUUAAGUACAUGGGAAAAUUACCCUCUAUUUACAUCACAGCUGUUUCUGAGCCUGCUGCAGCUCUGGUGUCAUGGGCAAACUGGACUCGAGGUACACUGAAGCAGGACAAAUAAGGAUCACUUUCAUGUGCACAAACAGUACAGAAAGAAGUGAAGUUGAAGAAGUGUUCCUAGUAAAACACAGAGGCCUCAGGUUGUGAAAUAACAGAUCCUUACAGAUUCUUUUGUGUGGUAGUGUGUUGCUAAGUUUCUUGUGUUAUUCCCCCAAUUUAUGUA